CCCUUAACUUUGGGAUAAAGCCUGGGAAACUGGGUCUAAUACCGGAUAUGANUCCUCAUCGCAUGGUGGGGGGUGGAAAGCUUUUUGUGGUUUUGGAUGGACUCGCGGCCUAUCAGCUUGUUGGUGAGGUAAUGGCUUACCAAGGCGACGACGGGUAGCCGGCCUGAGAGGGUGACCGGCCACACUGGGACUGAGACACGGCCCAGACUCCUACGGGAGGCAGCAGUGGGGAAUAUUGCACAAUGGGCGCAAGCCUGAUGCAGCGACGCCGCGUGAGGGAUGACGGCCUUCGGGUUGUAAACCUCUUUCAGUAGGGAAGAAGCGAAAGUGACGGUACCUGCAGAAGAAGCGCCGGCUAAUUACGUGCCAGCANCCGCGGUAAUACGUAGGGCGCAAGCGUUAUCCCGGAAUUAUUGGGCGUAAAGAGNUCGUAGGCGGUUUGUCGCNUCUGCCGUGAAAGUCCGGGGCUCAACUCCGGAUCUGCGGUGGGUACGGGCAGACUAGAGUGAUGUAGGGGAGACUGGAAUUCCUGGUGUAGCGAUGAAAUGCGCAGAUAUCAGGAGGAACACCGAUGGCGAAGGCAGGUCUCUGGGCAUUAACUGACGCUGAGGAGCGAAAGCAUGGGGAGCGAACAGGAUUAGAUACCCUGGUGGUCCAUGCCGUAAACGUUGGGCACUAGGUGUGGGGGACAUUCCACGUUUUCCGCGCCGUAGCUAACGCAUUAAGUGCCCCGCCUGGC
rnacentral:rRNA from 1 species